rnacentral:sRNA from 1 species
GACCCCAUGUGGAUCGAGUCUCUCAACACAGUCAUGGAUGACAACAAGGUCCUCACCCUGGCCAGCAACGAGCGGAUCCCCCUGAACCGCACCAUGAGGCUGGUGUUCGAAAUCAGCCACCUGAGGACGGCCACCCCAGCCACCGUCUCCAGAGCCGGCAUCCUCUACAUCAACCCAGCCGACCUGGGAUGGAACCCGGUGGUGAGCAGCUGGAUUGAGAGGCGCAAGGUGCAGUCGGAGAAGGCCAACCUGAUGAUCCUCUUUGACAAGUACCUGCCCACGUGCCUGGACAAGUUGCGCUUUGGGUUCAAGAAGAUCACGCCAGUGCCGGAGAUCACGGUGAUCCAAACGAUCCUGUACCUGCUGGAGUGCCUGCUCACGGAGAAGACCGUGCCCCCCGACUCCCCCAGGGAGCUGUACGAGCUGUACUUCGUGUUCGCCUGCUUCUGGGCCUUUGGUGGCGCCAUGUUCCAGGACCAGCUUGUGGAUUAUCGAGUGGAGUUCAGUAAAUGGUGGAUCAACGAAUUCAAGACCAUCAAGUUCCCCUCGCAGGGAACGAUUUUCGACUACUACAUUGAUCCUGACACGAAAAAGUUCCUGCCCUGGACAGAUAAAGUGCCCUCCUUUGAGCUGGAUCCCGAUGUCCCACUGCAGGCCUCUUUGGUCCACACCACGGAAACCAUCCGCAUCCGCUACUUCAUGGACCUGCUCAUGGAGAAGUCCUGGCCGGUGAUGCUGGUGGGGAACGCGGGGACGGGCAAGUCAGUGCUGAUGGGGGACAAGCUGGAAAGCCUGAACACCGACAACUACCUGGUGCAGGCCGUGCCCUUCAACUUCUACACGACCUCAGCCAUGCUGCAGGGGGUGCUGGAGAAGCCGCUGGAGAAGAAAUCGGGGAGGAACUACGGGCCACCAGGCACUAAGAAGCUCGUGUACUUCAUCGACGACAUGAACAUGCCCGAGGUGGACAAGUAUGGGACGGUGGCCCCGCACACCCUCAUCCGGCAGCACAUGGACCACCGGCACUGGUUAGACGGGGCGGGGCCGGGGGGAAGGCGUGGCCACGGGGCGGUGAGGGUGGGGCCAGGGAGGGGCGCAGGAAGAGGCGGAGCCCCAGGGCACGCCAUUUCUGCGUGUUUGCUGUGAGCUUCCCCGGCCAGGAGGCCCUCACCACCAUCUACAACACAAUCCUGACGCAGCACCUGGCCUUCCGCUCGGUCUCCAUGGCUAUCCAGAGGAUAAGCAGCCAGCUGGUGGCCGCGGCCCUGGCUUUGCAUCAGAAAAUCGCGGCAACAUUUCUUCCCACGGCCAUUAAGUUUCAUUAUGUCUUCAACCUCAGGGACCUCUCCAAUAUUUUCCAGGUACUGCUCUUGUAGCUUUAUGUCAUGCCUGCCUUACGGCCCAGUGCCUGAUCCACAGGUGCUUUCCUCAUCACAGCUCUCAGGGAGGUGUGGACUGAUGAUGGUGGUGAUGGUGGUAAUGAUAAUGAUGAUAAUGAUGGUGGUGAUGUAUCGUCUUUUUUUUUUUUUUCUAGGAUCUUGGUGAUGAACUCUUAUUUGCCAAGCCAAAUAUCUUCUGCCACUUUGCUCAAGGGAUUGGCGAUCCCAAAUACGUUCCUGUAACCGACAUGGCUCCUCUGAACAAGCUCCUCGUGGACGUCCUGGGCAGCUACAAUGAAGUUAAUGCAGUCAUGAAUUUGGUGCUGUUUGAGGACGCCAUGGCUCACAUCUGCAGGAUUAAUCGCAUCCUGGAGUCUCCCCGGGGGAAUGCCCUGCUGGUGGGGGUGGGCGGCAGCGGCAAACAGAGCCUCUCCCGCCUGGCAGCGUACAUCAGCGGGCUUGACGUGUUUCAGAUCACCCUCAAGAAGGGCUACGGGAUCCCCGACCUCAAGAUCGACCUCGCUGCUCAGUACAUAAAGGCUGCCGUGAAGAACAUUCCCUCGGUGUUCCUGAUGACAGACUCCCAGGUGGCCGAGGAGCAGUUUCUGGUGCUGAUCAAUGACCUGCUGGCCUCAGGAGAGAUCCCCGGGCUGUUUAUGGAGGACGAGGUGGAGAACAUCAUCUCCUCCAUGCGACCCCAAGUCAAGUCCCUUGGCAUGAAUGACACUCGGGAAACAUGUUGGAAGUUCUUCAUCGAAAAAGUGCGCAGACAGCUCAAGGUGAUCCUGUGUUUCUCCCCUGUGGGCUCCGUGCUGCGGGUACGAGCCAGAAAGUUCCCAGCUGUGGUCAACUGCACGGCCAUCGACUGGUUCCAUGAGUGGCCGGAAGAUGCGCUGGUGUCCGUCAGCGCACGCUUCCUGGAGGAGACCGAGGGGAUUCCGUGGGAAGUCAAGGCCUCUAUCAGCUUCUUCAUGUCCUACGUGCACACCACUGUCAACGAGAUGUCCAGGGUGUACCUGGCUACCGAGAGGCGCUACAACUACACCACACCCAAAACCUUUCUGGAGCAGAUCAAACUGUACCAGAACCUGCUGGCCAAGAAGAGAACAGAACUUGUUGCCAAAAUCGAGAGGCUGGAGAACGGCCUGAUGAAGCUGCAGAGCACGGCUUCCCAGGUGGAUGAUUUGAAAGCCAAGUUGGCGAUUCAGGAGGCUGAGCUCAAGCAGAAGAAUGAGAGCGCAGACCAACUGAUCCAGGUGGUCGGCAUCGAGGCCGAGAAGGUCAGCAAAGAGAAGGCCAUUGCUGACCAGGAAGAAGUCAAGGUCGAGGUCAUCAAUAAGAACGUCACUGAGAAGCAAAAGGCCUGUGAAACAGACCUGGCCAAAGCAGAACCAGCCCUGCUGGCAGCCCAGGAGGCUCUGGACACUCUGAAUAAGAACAACCUGACAGAGCUGAAGUCCUUUGGGUCCCCGCCGGAUGCUGUGGUCAACGUCACCGCUGCCGUCAUGAUUCUGACCGCACCUGGGGGCAAGAUCCCCAAGGACAAGAGCUGGAAGGCGGCCAAGAUCAUGAUGGGCAAGGUGGACACCUUCCUAGACUCCCUGAAGAAGUUCGACAAGGAGCACAUCCCCGAGGCCUGCCUGAAGGCCUUCAAGCCCUACCAAGGCAACCCGACGUUCGACCCCGAGUUCAUCCGCUCCAAGUCCACGGCCGCAGCCGGCCUGUGCUCCUGGUGCAUCAACAUCGUCCGCUUCUAUGAGGUCUACUGCGACGUGGCGCCCAAGAGGCAGGCACUGGAGGAGGCUAAUGCAGAGCUGGCAGAGGCACAAGAGAAGCUGUCCCGGAUCAAAAACAAGAUUGCCGAACUUAACGCCAACCUGAGCAACCUAACCUCAGCGUUUGAAAAAGCAACAGCUGAGAAAAUCAAGUGUCAGCAAGAGGCCGAUGCCACGAACAGGGUGAUCUUACUGGCGAACAGGUAUCAGUUCCUCCCCGAGACCACCCUCCUGCUCUCAGACCCCCUGAAAGGGACAAGCCCACGCAACUGCCUUGGGAGGAAGAGGAGAGAGCCCAGGUCCCCAUCCCGAUCACGAAUGGCCUGGAUCCCUUGAGCCUGCUGACAGAUGAUGCAGACGUGGCCACCUGGAACAACCAGGGCCUCCCCAGCGACCGCAUGUCCACCGAGAAUGCCACCAUCCUGGGCAACACCGAGCGGUGGCCGCUGAUCGUGGACGCCCAGCUCCAAGGAAUCAAGUGGAUCAAAAACAAAUACAGGAAUGAACUGAAAGCCAUCCGCCUGGGACAGAAGAGCUACCUGGAUGUCAUCGAGCAGGCCAUCUCGGAAGGGGACACCUUGCUCAUUGAGAACAUCGGCGAAACCGUGGACCCCGUGCUGGACCCUCUACUGGGCAGGAACACGAUUAAAAAGGGAAAGUACAUUAAGAUUGGUGACAAGGAGGUGGAGUACCACCCCAAGUUCCGCCUGAUCCUACACACCAAGUACUUCAACCCACACUACAAGCCAGAGAUGCAGGCUCAGUGCACCCUCAUCAACUUCCUGGUCACCAGGGAUGGACUCGAGGACCAACUCUUGGCCGCUGUGGUGGCCAAAGAGCGCCCAGAUCUGGAACAGCUGAAGGCAAACCUCACCAAGUCUCAAAACGAAUUUAAGAUUGUUCUGAAAGAGCUGGAAGAUUCGCUCCUGGCCCGUCUGUCGGCUGCGUCGGGGAACUUUCUGGGAGACACGGCCUUGGUGGAGAAUCUGGAGACCACCAAGCACACAGCCAGCGAGAUCGAGGAGAAGGUGGUGGAGGCAAAAAUCACAGAAGUUAAAAUCAACGAAGCGAGAGAGAACUACCGCCCGGCUGCGGAGAGGGCAUCUCUGCUCUACUUCAUACUGAAUGACCUCAACAAAAUCAACCCCAUCUACCAGUUCUCCCUCAAGGCCUUCAACGUGGUGUUUGAGAAAGCCAUCCAGAGGACCACCCCUGCCAACGAGGUGAAGCAGCGGGUGAUCAACCUGACGGACGAGAUCACCUACUCCGUCUACAUGUACACGGCCCGGGGACUCUUCGAGAGGGACAAACUCAUUUUCCUGGCACAAGUUACGUUUCAGGUCCUGUCCAUGAAGAAGGAGCUGAACCCAGUGGAGCUGGAUUUCCUCCUGCGGUUCCCUUUUAAGGCCGGAGUGGUCUCACCAGUGGACUUCCUGCAGCAUCAAGGCUGGGGCGGGAUCAAGGCCCUCUCGGAGAUGGAUGAGUUCAAAAAUCUGGACAGUGACAUCGAAGGAUCUGCCAAGCGCUGGAAAAAGCUGGUGGAGUCGGAAGCCCCCGAGAAGGAGAUCUUCCCCAAGGAGUGGAAGAACAAGACGGCCCUGCAGAAGCUGUGCAUGGUGCGCUGCCUGCGGCCAGACCGCAUGACCUACGCUAUCAAGAAAAAAACUAGGGUUUACCAUAGACAAUGGAAAACUCCAUAAUGUGUCCCUGGGGCAGGGACAAGAGGUGGUGGCUGAGAACGCCCUGGACGUGGCUGCAGAGAAAGGACACUGGGUCAUUCUGCAGAAUAUCCACCUGGUGGCCCGGUGGCUGGGGACACUGGACAAGAAGCUGGAGCGCUACAGCAUGGGCAGCCAUGAGGACUACCGGGUGUUCAUCAGCGCGGAGCCUGCCCCCAGCCCCGAGACCCACAUCAUCCCCCAGGGCAUCCUGGAGAAUGCCAUCAAGAUCACCAACGAGCCCCCCACGGGCAUGCACGCCAACUUGCACAAGGCCCUGGACCUGUUCACCCAGGACACCCUGGAGAUGUGCGCCAAGGAGAUGGAGUUCAAGUGCAUCCUCUUCGCCCUGUGCUACUUCCACGCUGUGGUGGCAGAGAGGCGCAAGUUCGGCACCCAGGGCUGGAACCGGUCGUACCCCUUCAACAACGGGGACCUCACCAUCUCCAUCAACGUGCUCUACAACUACCUGGAGGCCAACCCCAAGGUGCCCUGGGACGAUCUUCGCUACCUUUUUGGUGAAAUCAUGUAUGGCGGCCACAUCACAGACGACUGGGACCGUCGGCUGUGCAGGACCUACCUGGCUGAAUACAUCCGGACGGAGAUGCUGGAAGGAGACGUCCUGCUGGCCCCCGGCUUUCAGAUCCCCCCCAACCUGGACUACAAGGGUUACCACGAAUACAUCGAUGAGAACCUGCCCCCUGAGAGUCCCUAUCUGUAUGGCCUGCACCCCAACGCAGAGAUUGGCUUUCUGACGGUCACCUCAGAGAAGCUGUUCCGCACUGUCCUGGAAAUGCAGCCGAAAGAGACGGACUCGGGGGCAGGCACGGGAGUGUCCCGCGAGGAGAAGGGGCUGUCUGGGGACUGGCUUCCAGGUGAAGGCCAUGCUGGACGACAUCCUGGAGAAGAUUCCGGAGACUUUCAACAUGGCUGAGAUCAUGGCAAAGGCAGCGGAAAAGACCCCCUACGUGGUAGUCGCCUUUCAAGAAUGUGAAAGAAUGAACAUCCUGACCAACGAAAUGCGCCGUUCGCUGAAGGAGCUGAACCUGGGGCUGAAGGGAGAACUGACCAUCACGACCGACAUGGAAGAUCUGUCCACGGCUCUCUUCUAUGACACCGUGCCUGAUACGUGGGUGGCCCGGGCCUACCCCUCCAUGAUGGGCCUGGCGGCCUGGUACGCAGACCUGCUGCUCCGCAUCAGGGAACUCGAGGCCUGGACGACAGACUUUGCCCUGCCCACCACCGUGUGGCUGGCCGGCUUCUUCAACCCCCAGUCGUUCCUCACGGCCAUCAUGCAGUCCAUGGCCAGGAAGAACGAGUGGCCCCUGGACAAGAUGUGUUUGUCUGUCGAGGUGACCAAGAAAAACCGAGAGGACAUGACCGCUCCCCCGCGAGAGGGCUCCUACGUGUACGGACUCUUCAUGGAAGGGGCUCGCUGGGACACCCAGACUGGAGUCAUCGCUGAAGCGCGGCUGAAAGAGCUGACCCCGGCCAUGCCUGUCAUCUUCAUCAAGGCCAUUCCUGUGGACCGCAUGGAGACCAAGAACAUCUAUGAGUGUCCCGUGUACAAAACACGCAUCCGCGGCCCCACCUAUGUCUGGACCUUUAACUUGAAGACCAAAGAGAAGGCAGCGAAGUGGAUCCUGGCAGCCGUGGCGCUGCUCCUACAGGUUUAGC